UCUAUAAGAGAGUUCUUUUGUGAGAAUUCAACCUACUUUGUUAAGGGCAAAAGCUAUGUGGCUUUGGACGCUAGAGAUAAGACUAGGAUGACAAAUCAUGGUCCAAGAAAACCGUAUAUUAAAAGUAGGAAAGCUCAGUAGAGUUCUACGAUGAAAUUGUAUAUUAAAAGGAAUAGGAAAGCUAAGUAGAGUCUUACGAUAAUUGGGAGUAUUGAUCAUCAAAUUUAGGGACGUGAAAAGAAAUAAAAGGAGACGAGAAAAGAAAGAGAGAGGAGGGAAGAAGGGAACACAGGCUGCAAACAUGGAGGACACACCUGCAAGGAAUUUUUUGGAUUUACUGAAAAAAGAAAGAAGGGAAGGAAGAAGAAUGUGGUGUCUCUCGUGCUUUGGAGCUGUUUCAAGAUAUGGAUGAGAGAGAUGAAGACAGAAAGGAAGUUGAGGAAGAGUUGUUGUAUCCUCUACCACCUGCAAUAGUUCUUGUGCUGGAAACCUUGGGACUUGGUGAAGAAUGGAAAGAAGUGAGAGAAGAGAGGAAAGAAUUUGAGCAAGAGAAGAAGCAAGGGGAAGAAGAAGAAAAUGAUUUUUUCUUGAUCCAAGCACCUGAAGAGAAGAUUGAAGUGGACCUCUUGGAUGGGGAAGAGAAGAAAGAUGCAAAACAAGAGGAGAAGGAAGAAGAAGAAGAAGAAAAUGGCUGUCUUAAUCCAAAUGCCUAAAAAGGUGAUCAAACUGGAUCUCCUGGAUUCUAUUUUGGGAGAAGGGAGAGACAUGACAGAUAAGAAGAACUAAAGAGGAAAAAAUAAGUAAAGAAAGAAAAGAAAAAAAAAGACGAAGAUGAAGACGAGCAGAAGGUCCACAAAAAUUCAGGCCUUCGGCUUCUGGAAUAAUUCUGCAUGUUAUAGUUCAUGUUAGGUCAUGCAAGUUUUAGUGAGACUUGAGAUCAGUUCUUGGUUCUUGUUUGCUCAAAGAAAUUAGAUCUGAAUGCCAAAUAAAAAUCAUGGGAUUAUUUCUUUUCUUAGCGCCUUUUCUUAAGUUUCUCUUUCUAGUUAUUUUUUGUUGCUUUCAAUCCAUAUUCUGACUCACGAGAAAGAAUUGUAUUCUCAUCAAUAGCUAUAGUGUAGGAUCAUACGCUAAUUCUUAGACCCGAAAUCUAAUUCAGAUUGGAUCUUGAACUGAAACUUGGAUCCAAAAUCAGUGCAAAUCAAGCUUCUUAGAGACCUGGCACGACCCACUUGCAGCUCUACGUAGAGACUUGAAUCUAUUCGGGGGUAAAAAUACAUUGUCUACUUGAGUAGGGAAAACUGAAAAGUUUAAUAGAAACAUAUUAUUUUCUGAGUAAAAUAACAACAAAGUUGAUGAUCGUUUACGUAUAAUGAUAGGAAAUUUUUCUAAACUAUAACAAUAACUGCUAUUGUAGAACUUUAUGAAAUAUCCUACAAGCGUGUUGGGGGGAUUUCUGCACUGGCCAAAGACGUGAGACCUGGAAGGCUCCUGUGCUACAUUAUUCACCAUGUAUAUGCCCCCCUGGUGCCGACAAGUUGCUUUAAUUACCUUUCUCCCUUUGUCCCAUCCAUAGGCAUCACAACAGGAUAAAAAAGAAGAAGAGAAGGUGGUCAUAUAAACCUAAUAGAGACAUUAAUUGCUUCUCCUUUUCUCAUGCCAUUCUCCCGUAGGCAUUAUAAACAAGACAAGUAAGAGAGAGAAAAGAUGGUGGGAAGAGAGCAAGGAGAAGUUGAACCCAUAUCUGGCCUCCAUCCGCAGGUGCCUAAGCUCCCUACACUCGUUCAAUCCCACCUUGGCUUAUGAGCCCCUCGACGGUCUUGGCUCUUGUAUCGACUACCGAUCUUCCUUUGCUAAUAGGCUCCCUUUGAUCCUCUGGCCUCUGCAUCCUAAAAUCGACCUUCAUUGUCAGCUUCGGUCAUUGGCCUCUGUGAAGCCUUCUUCCUUCGGUUCUUGGUUCGAUCGAGGCAUCUAAUAAUUUCAGUCUCCAAAUGGCUGUCACGUCAGACCAUUAAAAAUAAUAGCUUGAUAUGAUAACUGCCAGAGGUCUUUUUACGGUCCUGUCAUAUUCUCUCAUUAAAAUAUGAGAAUGGCCAGAGGCAACACAAAGCUCUCUAACUAUUUUUGUCAACUCAUGCCAUUAAUAUACAUGGCCUUCACUUGCCAUAAAGAGAUAUGACCAGGCAUGAUUUUCAAGGAUAUUUAAUAGAGACAAAAUAUCUCUGACAACUUCUACUCUCUCACGACUCCAGCCUCCCAUAUAUAAAGAUAAAUAGGGACCUCUAAAGGUAUGCCUCCUCUCCUCCUCAAAAUUACUUGCUCUUUCCCUCCUAUUGUGAGGAAUUUGACUUGAAUAUCAGAGGAUCCCGGCUGGAGCCACUUCUGAUAAAGAUUUUUUUUGCAGAUCUGGCCAUCGUAGAUCCACUGGACGUCGCCUCACUCCAGCCCAGGAUGGAUUUUAUCUAUAAUAGAAUGGUGCUAGAGGAAGGGCAAGCCCAUCGAGGGGAAGAUGUGAGUGUUCAAAAGGAGGAACGUCAUCGCGCUGCUCCGAUGUCGAUCAGAUCCGGCUGUACACCUCCAAACUAGCUAGACAGUCCGAUCAAUCGUGAAUCGACUGAUGUUGAGUUUCGAUCGAAAAGAAAUUUCGAUAAAAAAAAAUGAUCUAAGCAAGGAAAGACGUUGUAGAAUCCAGAUAAAGAAUAAAAUUAUACAAAUCUCUAUUACACUGGAUUCCUAUUUUCUUGUCCAUACUCUUGAAUUUUUGGCAAGAUUAAAUAUUAGGAGGAAGACCCUUCGCACAUUCAUAACUCCAUUAUCUUCAGACAAGAUUCAGUUAGAGAGCUACAAUAAGGAGCUAGCUCAAAGCCUCGACUAUGCCCUGCUCGCCAUGCACACACUUCGAUUGGUCACUAUGGCUCUCUCCUUUACCACUCUUCCCGUUCUGUCAUGAGUGACGAGCAAACAAUAUUUUUGUAAGGUUAGCGGAGGAAAAUAAGAUCCUCACUUUUCAGUGGGGUGCUGAAGACCUCCCUGGCAUGUGACUUCGGACCAUAUAUCUCUGACUUCGAACCAUGACGAGGGGCCUUGUAAAUUAAUUUAGCCUUUGAACGGCCUCUCUAUCUCAUGCACACGUUCAACCUUGAGUGGUGCCAAGGCUGUUCGUAUGUGACCACAUAUGCGUCGAACCUUAGACUUCGGGUUGUGUUAAAACCCACGAGGGAUGACAUGCCACCUUAUCCCCUAUAUCUAAAUCAAUUUCUAGCUGCAUGUUAUCUAUUGGCAUGCAUUGAUUUCUCCCCUUAUCCCAUCACUUCAUAGGUGACAAUCAAAUAAAGACAAGAAAAAGGAAGAUAGUGGGGGAAGAAGAGAGGAAAUGGCUUCAACCGGCUCCUUCCGACCAUCUGCCACUUUCUGUAUAUGUAUACACGCACAUGUGCGGCCGAUGUCGAGAUCAGGGUUGGCAAAUCUGAAGCCUCCCUGGGUCCCUCGCACCCCAAGUCUUGGGAUGCUGCCGAAGCAGCCUCUCGCACGUGCCUUUGUGUGCACGCCCCCUUUUUUUCUAGAGCCAGAGUAGGGAGCUCCAGAGCUUCUUUGACCAGCAUCAUUUUCGGUGCCUCCCCCUCAAUCACUUCUACACUUUUUUUUUGACCGACACCUACCUUGUCAAAACUGGUAUUUACGGCACUGAAACGGUGGCGAGCAGCUCAGAAGCCAUCUGCAAGUUGCCCCGAGGCAUGCCACGCAUGCACACCCCGCUUCUAGUCGCAUUGGCGUUGCCCAUCCACAGUUUCGAACUGUUUUCUGUGUGGCCGAUCCUUGGUAGAGAAGUCGGAGCCACUUGCUACCCAAUCCUCCUUUGGGCGCUACUGAAGCCCGUCGGCUUACUUGAUCUCCACUGACUCUGGACCAACUUUGAUGCGAGACUAGCUGAAGCCCACAGCCAUACCGAUCCAUCCCGAUGUUGCCUCUUUUGUCCCUAUCUUUUUUGCGAGCGGGCCUAUAUAUGUCUUGCUAUUUGUUUAACGUAAAUAAUUUUCUCUCUUUCUUAUCAAAACAGGGAAGACUUUCUAAAAGACAUCAUGAAUGAGUCACUCGCAUUAUUUUUUAUGAUCAAAUGGUAGCAUUGCAUCAUUGCAUGUUCCCAGCUCGAUGGAGAUCCAUCAGAAUGCAUCAUUGCCGGUUUGGGGGUUGUAGGAAACCCCUUAGAUGAUCGUAUCGGAGCCUGUGAAGAUGCAGUGAAAUAGGAAACUGGUCUCAAUUUUGUGCAUGUAUGCUUUCAACAUCAACUAGAUAAAAGGUUUGAAGGUCUGGUCUCUAGCAAAACACUGUCAAAGCAUGUGAGCCAAAUAUAAAUUUUGCAAAUGCUAGACACAGGCCAGAUUAAUCAAAAUUUCCUCUAUAAGAGAGUCUUUUUGUGAGGAUUCAACCUACUUUGUUAAGGGCAAAAGCUACGUGGCUUUGGACACUAGAGAUAAGACUAAGAUGACAGACCACGGUCCAACGAAAUUGUAUAUUAAAAGGAGUAGGAAAGCUCAGUAGAGUCCUACGAUGAAACCGUAUAUUAAAAGGAGUAGGAAAGCUGAGUUGAGUCCUACGAUGAUUGGGAGUGCUGAUCAUCAAAUAUAGGGAUGUGAAAAGGAAUAAAAGGAGACGAGAACAGGGAGAGAGAGGAGGAGGGAAGAAGGGAACACAGGCCGCAAACAUGGAGGACACAAGGAGAUCGAAGGAAUUUAGCUUUUUCACUCAGACCUAUGAGAAAUUUUUUGGAUUUAUUGAAAAAAAGAAAGAAGGGAAGGAAGAAGAAUGUGGUGUCUCUCAUGCUUUGGAGCUGUUUCAAGAUAUGGAGGAGAGAGAUGAAGACAGAAAGGAAGUUGAGGAAGAAUCGUUGUAUCCUCUACCACCUACAAUAGUUCUUGUGCUAGAAACCUUGGGACUUGGUGAAGAAUGGAAAGAAGU
rnacentral:lncRNA from 1 species